rnacentral:misc_RNA from 1 species
AAGACAGAAAGAAAGGUUGCGAAUUAAGUGUGAUUUAAAAAAGAAACUAUUUAUAUAUUUAUGUAAAUGGAGGAUAAUUAUAAUGAUAUAUAUUAAGGAAAGAGAGAUGUCGAAUUUAAAUAGAUCAGAUCCUACAGCCGGCGGAGAUGCACCCGUUGUAGAAAAGACCGAUUGUGUCGAUGAUGCAAUUUCGCUAUCAACUAUCGAGUUGAAAUGUUCCAAAGAUGAAACUACAACCGUGGAAGAAGUCGCAGUAUCGACCUUAAAUGUACAGGCCGAAUGUUUAGAAGCGACGAAUGACUCACUCGGCGAAGAGAUAGCUGAUCCGAAUAUUACAGAGAUCACACAUGUAGCUACAGAAGAUGCUGUGAUAUUUAUUGACGCGCAAGAAUCCGAAGCUAAAAGUUUAACUGCGAUUGCUCUUCAAAGUGAAGAAACGCCGAAAUCGAAAUCUGCCAAUGAGGAGAAGGCUGAUAAUUCAAAGCUUAGUGAGAGAGACGACAACGCAACGCGUAUAUCCAGUUUGGAAGCGAAAGUGCGGGUGAGAAAAUCCGUGGAGACCACAAACUAUCCUGAAAGAAACGAAUCAUCCCAACUCGAUAACGAAAAAAGAACGAAGGAGCGUGACGAUUAUCGAAAAAAAUUGGAAGAGACGGAAACGAAGCUGGCCGCGUUGCAAGUGUCUUAUGAGGCGAUAACGAAUCACGAUGAUGUCAAAGAUACCCUGCAACAAUCGGUGGAGCAAUUGCGCGGUCAGCUGGCGCAGACUGCGUUGAUGUACGAGGAGCGAAAUCGGGUGGCGACGAACCAGGAGAGUCAGAUUAACGCUCUGAACAAUCAAGUAACUUCGUUGAAGGAGGUGGUAUCGAUCACGCGGGACCUGCUGCAGAUCCGUAACAUGGAAGUGAAGCAACUGCAAGCUGAAGUUGACAAUAUGGAGAAGAAGAUUUCCGAGGAACGCGAACGACAUAACGUGAUGAUUAGUAAAAUGGAUGCAGCGAUGCGACUCAAUGCGGAUCUAAAGAAGGAAUACGAAACCCAGUUGUCCUUGUUUCAAAGUCUUCGUGAGAAAUACGGCGAGAAAAUUUCUUUGUUGUCUGCGGAGAAACGAGCUCUCGAAACAGCUACCUCUGCAUCUGAAUAAAGAUUCUUUUCUCAAUCUAUAAUGGAUUUAGCAUACAAAUUCCUUUUUCAUCAUAAUGUGUUGGAGUUAUUUUUAUAGAGAUAUCAAAGAUUUACUGUAUAAAACUUGCGCUUUGCAUUAAAAAUUGCAAAUUUGUAUAAAACCAUGCGUAUAAUGAUUGAUGAACAUUGAAAAAGCUCUAAAUUAAAUUUUUUUCCACAUAUCCUUAUAACAUUCAGAGUGAAAAAUCAUGCAAUUGAUAAAGCAAUUUAGACGAUAAAACUGAUGAGAUAAUUAAGAUAUUUGCUCAAAUUAUAAAAAUCAAUAUCGACAAUAUUUAUUUACUUACCGUUUAUGUCUUACAAUAAAUCCAUG